rnacentral:rRNA from 1 species
UACGUAGGUGGCAAGCGUUGUCCGGAUUUAUUGGGUUUAAAGGGUGCGUAGGCGGUCUUAUAAGUCAGUGCUGAAAUAUCCCGGCUUAACCGGGAGGGUGGCAUUGAUACUGUAGGACUUGAGUAAAGUUGAGGUUGUCGGAAUUGACGGUGUAGCGGUGAAAUGCUUAGAUAUCGUCAAGAACACCUAUUGCGAAGGCAGCUAACUAAGCUUUAACUGACGCUGAGGCACGAAAGUGUGGGGAUCAAACAGG